rnacentral:rRNA from 1 species
GCUAGCAGCUAGCUCUCUGCAACUCUCACAUGGUCGCCCACUGAAGCUAAGCAGGGCUGCGCCCGGUCAGUACCUGGAUAGGAGACCACAUGGGAAAGCUAGGUUGCUGCCGGAA